GAUGAACGCUAGCGGGAGGCUUAAUACAUGCAAGUCGAACGGUAAGGUCCCUUCGGGGAUACACGAGUGGCGCACGGGUGCGUAACGCGUACAUAACAUACCUUUUAGCGGGGGAUAGCCUUUGGAAACGAAGAAUAAUACCCCAUAGUAAUAUAAUAUCGCCUGAUAUAAUAUUUAAAGUUCCGGCGCUAAAAGAUUGGUGUGCGUAUGAUUAGUUAGUUGGUGAGGUAACGGCUCACCAAGGCAACGAUCAUUAGGGGGCGUGAGAGCGUGAACCCCCACACGGGCACUGAGACACGGGCCCGACUCCUACGGGAGGCAGCAGUAAGGAAUAUUGGGCAAUGGAGGCAACUCUGACCCAGCCAUCCCGCGUGCAGGACGACUGCCCUAUGGGUUGUAAACUGCUUUUCUACAAGAAGAAUAGCGUGUAUUUAUACGCGUAUGACGGUAUUGUAGGAAUAAGCACCGGCUAACUCCG
rnacentral:rRNA from 1 species